UGCAGCACGAAUGAUGGGGGCCCCCUAAACCCAAACCAGGGCGGGGGCCCCCGGAUAAGCUGCUGCA
rfam:Eimeria mitis, Houghton, WGS project CBTT01000000 data, contig: Emh_contig1946_3